UAAUCUUCUUCGCUUUCUUCUUUUGUUUUUUUCCUACUUUAUAGAUCUGUCAUUUGAUUCACUUUGUUUCUCAUGUGGGUCUCUCUUUACCAGACAUCGAUGAUAAAACUAAGUUUAAUUUAUAGCAGUAAUCUCCUUCUAUAAUCGCUGUGGUUCCAUUGCUACAUGUCACUGUUUCGUUGUAAGAGCAUCUGCAUCGCCGUAUUUUCAGUCCGUCCGUCAUAUUUUAAUUUCUUAAUUUAAAUUGAAAUUAACCAAAUAUUGAAGAAACGUAUCUGCAAAACGGACGUUUUUCGCCAGUCCUUCUUAACACGUGGCGGCCUCUUAUUUGUUUGUGUCGUUUGGGUUGGGUGAGACCAAAACAAUCUUGUUCUCGAGUUAUUUUCUUUUCUCUUUGUUUCUCUUUCUUUACUCUUUCUCUCUCUCGACGGCGAUUUGAUUCUGUCCGCCGAUCUGCUUGAAAAUUGGGUGAAACAAAGGCAAAUCUGCCGUCAGUCCUCUUCUAGCCGGUUGCAAUAGAAAGAGAUUUCAAAGGUUAAAGUGCGUGGCUUUGGUCGUAUUUCGAAUGGGAUAGCAAGCGAUAGUCAUUCCCUACAUGGUAAGCGUGAAAGCCUCACAUAACGAGAAAUCUCAGAAGAAGUAGCAACAUUCAGCCAGUGAAAGGUAAAUAAUCGAUUCCAUUAGCAUCCAAAAUGUCAAUUUCUUGUUGUUUGUUGAUUUGGUAGUGGUCUCAUUAAUUGAUUUGGUAGAGUAGUUAAUAUGAUUUGUAUCUUUAGAUUCGUCAAGUGUUGAUGUCUAGGUAGUAAAUAAGAGGAUGUAGUUUAUGAUCUCUGUUUUAACUAAAAAAUUAAUGGUGAUGCAAUAGUUGAUGUAACUAUCUAUUUAUAUAUCUUGCAUUUGCUUUAAUUUAUGUAACUAUAGCUAUUUAUAUAAAGGUGAGAGUAUAACUAAGUUUGUAUAACUAGUUGAAGCUUUAGUUGUACUUGAUAUUUAGUUGUCAUAAAUUGUGAUUAGACUUAGGUAGUUGAAGCUUUUGUCAUUAUGAAUGGUACCAAUAACAUAUCCGAUUUCUCUAUCUACUAAAGCUUUGGUCAUUAUAUCUCUCUUCAAGCUUUAGUCAUUAUAUCUCUCUUCAAUCUUUCACUACAAGAAAACAUGAAAUUAACGACUGCACUAUUUGUCACUAUUUAGUCGCUAAAUGGUGGUUUACGACCAAAUAACGACUAAAACUUGUUGUCAUAAAUCGUUAGUCAGUAAGAAAAAUUAGUCAUAAAU